rnacentral:rRNA from 1 species
UACGUAGGGUGCAAGCGUUAAUCGGAAUUACUGGGCGUAAAGCGUGCGUAGACGGUUAUUUAAGUCGGGUGUGAAAGCCCCGGGCUCAACCUGGGAAUUGCAAUCGAGACUGAAUAGCUAGGGUACGGUAGAGGGAAGUGGAAUUUCCGGUGUAGCGGUGAAAUGCGUAGAUAUCGGAUGGAACAUCAGUGGCGAAAGCGACUUCCUGGACCAGUACCGACGUUCAGGCACGAAAGCGUGGGGAGCCAAAGGG